rnacentral:rRNA from 1 species
AUACGGAGGGUGCAAGCGUUAAUCGGAAUCACUGGGCGUAAAGCGCGCGUAGGCCGCUUUGUAAGUCGGACGUGAAAGCCCUCGGCUCAACCGGGGAACUGCGUUCGAUACUGCGAGGCUUGAGUCCUGGAGAGGGUGGCGGAAUUCCGGGUGUAGGAGUGAAAUCCGUAGAUAUCCGGAGGAACACCGGUGGCGAAGGCGGCCACCUGGACAGGUACUGACGCUGAGGCGCGAAAGCGUGGGGAGCAAACAGGAUUAGAUACCCUGGUAGCCCACGCCGUAAACGAUGGAUGCUAGGUGUCGGGGAGCGAUCCUCGGUGCCGGAGUUAACGCAUUAAGCAUCCCGCCUGGGGAGUACGGUCGCAAGGCUGAA